AGUGAACGCUGGCGGCAGGCCUAACACAUGCAAGUCGAGCGGCAGCGCGUCCGACCACCCUCGGGUGGUCGGAUGGCGGCGAGCGGCGGACGGGUGAGGAAUGCAUCGGAAUCUGCCUCGUUGUGGGGGAUAACGUAGGGAAACUUACGCUAAUACCGCAUACGACCUACGGGUGAAAGUGGGGGACCUUCGGGCCUCACGCGAUGAGAUGAGCCGAUGCCGGAUUAGCUAGUUGGCGGGGUAAAGGCCCACCAAGGCGACGAUCCGUAGCUGGUCUGAGAGGAUGAUCAGCCACACUGGAACUGAGACACGGUCCAGACUCCUACGGGAGGCAGCAGUGGGGAAUAUUGCACAAUGGGCGAAAGCCUGAUGCAGCAACGCCGCGUGUGCGAUGAAGGCCUUCGGGUCGUAAAGCACUUUCUUGAGAGAUGAGUAAGG
rnacentral:rRNA from 1 species